rnacentral:rRNA from 1 species
GAUGAACGCUGGCGGCGUGCCUAAUACAUGCGAGUCGAGCGAACAGACGAGGAGCUUGCUCCUCUGACGUUAGCGGCGGACGGGUGAGUAACACGUGGAUAACCUACCUAUAAGACUGGGAUAACUUCGGGAAACCGGAGCUAAUACCGGAUAAUAUAUUGAACCGCAUGGUUCAAUAGUGAAAGACGGUUUUGCUGUCACUUAUAGAUGGAUCCGCGCCGCAUUAGCUAGUUGGUAAGGUAACGGCUUACCAAGGCAACGAUGCGUAGCCGACCUGAGAGGGUGAUAGGCCACCCUUGAACUGAGACACGGUCCAGACCCCCACGGGAGGCAGCCGUAGGGAAUCCUCCGCAAUGGGCGAAAGCCUGACGGAGCAACGCCGCGUGAGUGAUGAAGGUCUUCGGAUCGUAAAACUCUGUUAUUAGGGAAGAACAAAUGUGUAAGUAACUAUGCACGUCUUGACGGUACCUAAUCAGAAAGCCACGGCUAACUAAGUG